AACAAACGCUGGCGGCGUGCCUAAUACAUGCAAGACGAACGGUAAGUUGAGUAGCAAUACUUAGCCAAGAGUGUCGUACGGGUGCGUAACACGUAUGCAACCUACCCUAUACAGGAGGAUAGCCUAGGGAAACCUGGAUUAACCCUUCAUAGUAUUAUUGGAUGGCAUCAUUUGAUAAUUAAAACUGAGGUGGUAUAGGAUGGGCAUGCGUCUGAUUAGUUAGUUGGCGGGGUAAUGGCCCACCAAGACGAUGAUCAGUAGGGGUUCUGAGAGGAAGAUCCCCCACACUGGCACUGAGAUACGGGCCAGACUCCUACGGGAGGCAGCAGUAGGGAAUAUUGGUCAAUGGAUGCAAGUCUGAACCAGCCAUGCCGCGUGCAGGAAGAAGGCCUUCUGGGGUUGUAAACUGCUUUUGCCAGGGGAUAAAAUUUCCAUGCGUGGAAAACUGAAGGUACCUGGUGAAUAAGCCACGGCUAACUACGUGCCAGCAGCCGCGGUAAU
rnacentral:rRNA from 1 species